rnacentral:rRNA from 1 species
UGCAGUCGAGCGGACAGAUGGGAGCUUGCUCCCUGAUGUUAGCGGCGGACGGGUGAGUAACACGUGGGUAACCUGCCUGUAAGACUGGGAUAACUCCGGGAAACCGGGGCUAAUACCGGAUGCUUGUUUGAACCGCAUGGUUCAAACAUAAAAGGUGGCUUCGGCUACCACUUACAGAUGGACCCGCGGCGCAUUAGCUAGUUGGUGAGGUAAUGGCUCACCAAGGCGACGAUGCGUAGCCGACCUGAGAGGGUGAUCGGCCACACUGGGACUGAGACACGGCCCAGACUCUUACGGGAGGCAGCAGUAGGGAAUCUUCCGCAAUGGACGAAAGUCUGACGGAGCAACGCCGCGUGAGUGAUGAAGGUUUUCGGAUCGUAAAGCUCUGUUGUUAGGGAAGAACAAGUACCGUUCGAAUAGGGCGGUACCUUGACGGUACCUAACCAGAAAGCCACGGCUAACUACGUGCCAGCAGCCGCGGUAAUACGUAGGUGGCAAGCGUUGUCCGGAAUUAUUGGGCGUAAAGGGCUCGCAGGCGGUUUCUUAAGUCUGAUGUGAAAGCCCCCGGCUCAACCGGGGAGGGUCAUUGGAAACUGGGGAACUUGAGUGCAGAAGAGGAGAGU